ensembl:lncRNA
GACAGCGUAUGUAAAAACAUUUAUUGGUUGAGGACGUAUUAUAGUUGACAUGGCCUUUCUACCAGGCUUGGUGGUUAAUAUUAACAGUACAGCUUCCUACUUCCUCUACUCUUUAGUCUCAGACAUGGAGCUUCAACAUUCAACAAAAAAAAAAAAAUUGAAAUAAUCUUUACAUUUCCUUGACACACACAGGUGUGUGUGUGACGGUGUGGAAUGUGUGUGAGGGUUAAACAUGAUGAGAUGGUCAACUAUAACAAUAUACAUGAUUAAGAUCAGAUUAUGGACAGAGCAGAGCACAGAGCCAGGUUACUAUAGCCUGGGUUACACCCUAUGGGCCCUGGUCAACAGGAAGCACACCAUAUAAGGAACAGGGAACCAUUUGGGAUUCAGACAUUAUAGUUAAGCAGACAGCAUCACUCCAAAUAACCUUAGUCAGCCAAUCACAUCGCUCUAUCCCACCCACAGAAUCAAGACUGACUAACUGGCUGGUUCACCAGAUGUGAUUAAGAAACUAAACAUGAGCAUCGUAUUGGUCCAGACAAACCACAUGAUCUCAACAUGAGGACUUCCUACUCCAGAUUACCACAUUAACAACACAUAGGACCAGUUUCCUGGACACAGAUUCAGCAGUUUUGGUCCAGUAGGAUUCAUGUGAGUCCAGGAAGCCAGCCUGUAAUUAAGCAAUAAGGCACAGCCCCCCUGUAGUGCCAAUAUACCACAGCUAAGGGUUGUUCUUAGGCACGACGCAGCGUGGAGUGCCUUGACACAGCCCUUAGCCGUGGUAUAUUAGCUAUAUAAACCCCCAAGGUGCCUUAUUGCUAUUAGAAACUGGUUACCAAUGUAAUUAGAGCAGUAAAAAUUAAAUGUUUUGUCAUACCCGUGGUAUACGGUCUGAUGUACCACGGCUGUCAGCCAAUCAGCAUUCAGGGCUUGAACCACCCAGUUUGUAAUUCUCUAUAAAAGGCUGUAUUUAGUCUGUUUUACAGCAGGCUAGUGUUCUCAGGAGAAUCCAGCUGAGUUUAAACACAGCAUGCUGUUUUCUUCCAUAGUGAGUAGCAUGCCAGGGCCAGGAGCCGCUUCCAGGAGCCGCUUCCAGGAGCCGCUUCCAGGCCACUCAGUGUGUGGUGUGUUGCUCUCUCCUGCGUCUCUCCCAUUACCAUGACAUUCCUUCACACAGACACUGCCCCACUGACGGCCAUCUUUGCUUGUUCCAUCGCCAUAAGCAACAACAGCCCAGCAGAGAGAAGGAACACAGUGCACAUCAAAAAUGAUGACAUUGUACACAUGACACUGUGCACAUCAAAUUAAAAAAAGUGUAAUGAACCCAGAUGUUUUCAGUCUAAUCUAACCUACUCUCUGACAGGAUAUGUGUAAUCUAAAGAGAAUAUAGUGACAUGGAGUUGCAUCUCCUCCAGUAUGUAUGUAAGCGCUGCACAUUAGUCUUUGGCAUGGUUCAGUAUCGGAGAAGCCCAUUGGUUGAGCUGACGUUCACGCCAGACCAAUAACAGGAGAACAGAAGAUCAGGUCAAUGCUUCAUCGUCGUGGAUUAAAAACCUCGUAUUUACUUGGUUAAAUAACAUCCACAUACGUUUCCCAGUGACAUAAAGAGGGAAAUAAAAAUAAGCACAUUAAAUCUGAGUCUGAAUCGAUUUUUAAAAAAAACUGUUGAGAUUGAAAGAGAUCCACCAUAUUAUCAAUUGUAAGACUUUAAUUCUUUAAGACUUUAAAUUCUUUACGACAGUAUUAAGACAUCUAUAAACGUUCUUCAGGGCUUCAGACUUUUUCAGAGAGGCAGCUGUUCUCAUACACUCCUCAGAGUACACUACAGCUGUACCAACCCACCACAUCCACCCCAGGAGGUUAACAGACGGCCCUACCAGGACCCACCACAC